rnacentral:lncRNA from 1 species
GAAGGGUAAACUCGCACCUGUUCUACCCAGAAGAGUGGCUCAAGUUCACAUUCAGAAUUUAUUUGUUGAAAGAGUAUCUCCACUUUAUCACAAUCGAGCACUUCCAAUUCUUUCAGAAGUGGCCAGCUUGAACUAAACCUUCUAGAGCAAAAUCUUUUCAGUUGGUGUAAACCGGAGAGUGUGAGAGAGGUAAGGUUAGGGAAUAAGAGUAAAGGUGCUGCUUCAUCUUCAUUUUCAUUGGCAACAAUUGCCUCCACUCCACUCUCCGAUAUAUAUAGGUCCUCAAGAUGCACAAGAGCACUCGCCACAGAAACCGGAAAAAGGUUUAGCAGUUUGUUGCAUCCCCUUACUUGCAAUUUCCUUAAUUUGGAAAAUGAAUUUGCUGGAAGUUGGUCAGGCCACAAUGCUCUUAUAUUAUCUAGUCCGCGUACAGACAAGGACUCCAACCCUGGGAGUGCAACCUCUGCAAUUGAUGAUCCCUUUAGUUAAUAAUAUAUACAUAUACAUUCCUAAUAAUUAGACACAUGUAAAUAGAAAAUAAGAGGUUAAAGGAGAAUAUAUCAGUAUAACAAAGCACAAAAUUUAAACUAGAUUCAAGAAGAUCAAGAAAGAGAAAAGAAAAGAAAAAGCCUCCAGAUUUUGAAGAUACAAUGAAACUUAAAAAAAAAAAAAAAAACCUUCAAAUUUUCCUUUCGAAAUGAGCUAAUAAGAGGAUUUUUUUUUUCUUUUUUCUUUGCAUCUCUUUCAAAUUUGAUUAACUUCUAUGGAAAACGUAUUUUAACUAGUUAUGGAAAACGGAUAUUUUUUUUUUAACUUUUAUAUAAGAUACAAGUAAUACUUUAAAAAAAUUGUGAUAUCUAAAUAAUUUUUUGAAAAAUUAUUUUGAAAGAAAUAAGGUAAAUCUAUACUUUUUGUAUAAGAUGUUCAACCUUUAUAUACAAAUUUCUAAUUUUUUUUUUUAAAGUGUAUCCAAAUGGACACUAAACUAUCUAGUUUUUAAUUGUUACAACUUUGAAUUGGAUUUUAUGGUAAACUAAUUUACAAGUUAAUGCAUGGAUUCAUCUUAGAUUCCAUCUAUAAAUUUUUUUAAUUAUCUAAUAUAAGACAUUAUAUUAAUGGGUUGAAUUAAUAAUGUAAUUAUAAUUUAUUUGGCAACUUUCUUCCUUCAAAUAUAUAAAAUGAAAAUAAAUUUUAAAAAAUAAAAAAAAUGAAAAAAAUAAAAAAUAAAAAAAGAUUUUUUUUAUAGUUUUUCUAAGGUGAUUUUGUAGAGUAUUGUUAGUUUAUAGUUUUAACUUUAUUUCAUUUUACUUUUAACUUUAUUUAUUGAGGUAUGUUCUUUUUUGCAACUCUUGUUUAGAUUUUAUAGAGAAUAUAAAUUUUAAGAAAAAAAAUGAAAUUUAAAUAAAAUAAGAAUAAAGAAAGGCAAAAGGUGGAUGAAUUUUCUUAAGGCAAAAGUUUGAUAACUUGGCACUAUCAUGUAAUGGGUGAAAUUUUUAAAUACUCAACAAAGGCUAGUGAAAUUUAAAUUAAAAGCUUGACAUGUACCUUUUCGACCAAAAUCUUUGGAGUUGGUGUAAAGUUUUGAGUAUGAGAGAGGUUAGUAUAGGGAAUAUUAUUGCACAUUAGUUCAAAUAAAACAUCAACAUUUUUUUUUGUUAAAUUCUAAAUGAACACCACUAUAAAUUAAUGCGAUUUUGUAUGCUCAAUUAAAUAAACUCGUUCUUAAGGCAUCACAUGAAGUGUUUAAGUCUAAUUAAUAUUAAUUAAAAAUGAUUAUAUUAAAAAAAAUCCAAAGUAAUUUAUUUUUAUCAUAAGUCAAGUAGGAUAGUUUUAUAAAUAAUUGGUUCUAGUUUCUAGUAUUAUUGUACACAAUCGCUAUGUUUGUUGCACCUCCAAAAAAUCUACUACUUGUAAUUAAUUGUAUAUUAUUCUCCAUAUUCACAUCAGUUUAUGUAGUAUGAUUAAUUUAGCAACAAAAUAUAAGUUUACUUGAAAUCGCUUUAAAUUCCUAUGAUAUUAAAGUUUAAGAUUAAAACAAUGUAACAUUAGCCAAAAAGAUUAAGAUCUAUAAUGUAACAUAUAAAAUUUAGAAAAUUCAAGGAAGGGUAAACUCGCACCUGUUCUACCCAGAAGAGUGGCUCAAGUUCACAUUCAGAAUUUAUUUGUUGAAAGAGUAUCUCCACUUUAUCACAAUCGAGCACUUCCAAUUCUUUCAGAAGUGGCCAGCUUGAACUAAACCUUCUAGAGCAAAAUCUUUUGAGUUGGUGUAAACCGGAGAGUGUGAGAGAGGUAAGGUUAGGGAAUGAGAGUAAAGGUGCUGCUUCAUCUUCAUUUUCAUUGGCAACAAUUGCCUCCACUCCACUCUCCGAUAUAUAAAGGUCCUCAAGUUGCACAAGAGCACUCGCCACAGAAACCGGAAAAAGGUUUAGCAAUUUGUUGCAUCCCCUUCCUUGCAAUUUCCUUAAUUUGGAAAAUGAAUUUGCUGGAAGUUGGUCAGGCCACAAUGCUCUUAUAUUAUCUAGUCCACGUACAGACAAGGACUCCAAGCCUGGGAGUGCAACCUGUGCAAUUGAUGAUCCCUUUAGUUAAUAAUAUAUACAUAUACAUUCCUAAUAAUUAGACACAUGUAAAUAGAAAAUAAGAGGUUAAAGGAGAAUAUAUCAGUAUAACAAAGCACAAAAUUUAAACUAGAUUCAAGAAGAUCAAGAAAGAGAAAAGAAAAGAAAAAGCCUCCAGAUUUUGAAGAUACAAUGAAACUUAAAAAAAAAAAAAAAAAAACUUCCAAAUUUUCCUUUCGAAAUGAGGUAAUAAGAGGAUUUUUUUUUUCUUUUUUCUUUGCCUCUCUUUCAAAUUUGAUUAACUUCUAUGGAAAACGUAUUUUAACUAGUUAUGGAAAACCGAUUUUUUUUUUUUUAACUUUUAUAUAAGAUACAAGUAAUACUUUAAAAAAAUUGUGAUAUCUAAAUAAUUUUUUGAAAAAUUAUUUUUAAAGAAAUAAGGUAAAUCUAUACUUUUUGUACAAGAUGUUCUACCUUUAUAUACAAAUUUCUGAUUUUUUUUUUAAAAGUGUAUCCAAAUGGACACUAAACUAUCUAGUUUUUAAUUGUUACAACUUUGAAUUGGAUUUUAUGGUAAACUAAUUUACAAGUUAAUGCAUGGAUUCAUCUUAGAUUCCAUCUAUAAAUUUUUUUAAUUAUCUAAUAUAAGACAUUAUAUUAAUGAGUUGAAUUAAUAAUGUAAUUAUAAUUUAUUUGGCAACUUUCUUCCUUCAAAUAUAUAAAAUGAAAAUAAAGUUUAAAAAAUAAAAAAAAUGAAAAAAAUAAAAAAUAAAAAAUGAUUUUUUUUAUAGUUUUUCUAAGAUGAUUUUGUAGAGUACUGUUAGUUUAUAGUUUUAACUUUAUUUCAUUUUACUUUUAACUUUAUUUAUUGAGGUAUGUUCUUUUUUGAAACUCUUGUUUAGAUUUUAUAGAGAAUAUAAAUUUUAAGAAAAAAAAUGAAAUUUAAAUAAAAUAAGAAUAAAGAAAGGCAAAAGGUGGAUGAAUUUUUUUAAGGCAAAAGUUUGAUAACUUGGCACUAUCAUGUAAUGGGUGAAAUUUUUAAAUACUCAACAAAGGCUAGUGAAAUUUAAAUUAAAAGCUUGACAUGUACCUUUUCGACCAAAAUCUUUGGAGUUGGUGUAAAGUUUUGAGUAUGAGAGAGGUUAGUCUAGGGAAUAUUAUUGCACAUUAGUUCAAAUAAAACAUCAACAUUUUUUUUUUGUUAAAUUCUAAAUGAACACCGCUAUAAAUUAAUGCGAUUUUGUAUGCUCAAUUAAAUAAACUUGUUCUUAAGGCAUCACAUGAAGUGUUUAAGUCUAAUUAAUAUUAAUUAAAAAUGAUUAUAUUAAAAAAAAUCCAAAGUAAUUUAUUUUUAUCAUAAGUCAAGUAGGAUAGUUUUAUAAAUAAUUGGUUCUAGUUUCUAGUACUAUUGUACACAAUCGCUAUGUUUGUUGCACCUCCAAAAAAUCUACUACUUGUAAUUAAUUGUAUAUUAUUCUCCAUAUUCACAUCAGUUUAUGUAGUAUGAUUAAUUUAGCAACAAAAUAUAAGUUUACUUGAAAUCGCUUUAAAUUCCUAUGAUAUUAAAGUUUAAGAUUAAAACAAUGUAACAUUAGCCAAAAAGAUUAAGAUCUAUAAUGUAACAUAUAAUAUUUAGAAAAUUCAAGGAAGGGUAAACUCGCACCUGUUCUACCCAGAAGAGUGGCUCAAGUUCACAUUCAUAAUUUAUUUGUUGAAAGAGUAUCUCCACUUUAUCACAAUCGAGCACUUCCAAUUCUUUCAGAAGUGGCCAGCUUGAACUAAACCUUCUAGAGAAAAAUCUUUUGAGUUGGUGUAAACCGGAGAGUGUAAGAGAGGUAAGGUUAGGGAAUAAGAGUAAAAGUGCUGCUUCAUCUUCAUUUUCAUUGGCAACAAUUGCCUCCACUCCACUUUCCGAUAUAUAUAGGUCCUCAAGUUGCACAAGAGCACUCGCCACAGAAACCGGAAAAAGGUUUAGCAAUUUGUUGCAUCCCCUUACUUGCAAUUUCCUUAAUUUGGAAAAUGAAUUUGCUGGAAGUUGGUCAGACCACAAUGCUCUUAUAUUAUCUAGUCCGCGUACAGACAAGGACUCCAAACCUGGGAGUGCAACCUGUGCAAUUGAUGAUCCCUUUAGUUAAUAAUAUAUACAUAUACAUUCCUAAUAAUUAGACACAUGUAAAUAGAAAAUAAGAGGUUAAAGGAGAAUAUAUCAGUAUAACAAAGCACAAAAUUUAAACUAGAUUCAAGAAGAUCAAGAAAGAGAAAAGAAAAGAAAAAGCCUCCAGAUUUUGAAGAUACAAUGAAACUUAACAAAAAAAAAAAAAAACCACCAAAUUUUCCUUUCGAAAUGAGGUAAUAAGAGGAUUUUUUUUUUUUCUUUUUUCUUUGCCUCUCUUUCAAAUUUGAUUAACUUCUAUGGAAAACGUAUUUUAACUAGUUAUGGAAAACAUAUUUUUUUUUUAAAAAACUUUUCUAUAAGAUACAAGUAAUACUUUAAAAAAAUUGUGAUAUCUAAAAAAUUUUUUGAAAAAUUAUUUUUAAAGAAAUAAGGUAAAUCUAUACUUUUUGUAUAAGAUGUUCUACCUUUAUAUACAAAUUUCUGAUUUUUUUUUUAAAAGUGUAUCCAAAUGGACACUAAACUAUCUAGUUUUUAAUUGUUACAACUUUGAAUUGGAUUUUAUGGUAAACUAAUUUACAAGUUAAUGCAUGGAUUCAUCUUAGAUUCCAUCUAUAAAUUUUUUUAAUUAUCUAAUAUAAGACAUUAUAUUAAUGGGUUGAAUUAAUAAUGUAAUUAUAAUUUAUUUGGCAAGUUUCUUCCUUCAAAUAUAUAAAAUGAAAAUAAAUUUUAAAAAAUAAAAAAAAUGAAAAAAAUAAAAAAUAAAAAAAGAUUUUUUUUAUAGUUUUUCUAAGAUGAUUUUGUAGAGUACUGUUAGUUUAUAGUUUUAACUUUAUUUCAUUUUACUUUUAACUUUAUUUAUUGAGGUAUGUUCUUUUUUGAAACUCUUGUUUAGAUUUUAUAGAGGAUAUAAAUUUUCAGAAAAAAAAAAUUAAAUUUAAAUAAAAUAGGAAUAAAGAAAGGCAAAAGGUGGAUGAAUUUUUUUAAGGCAAAAGUUUGAUAACUUGGCACUAUCAUGUAAUGGGUGAAAUUUUUAAAUACUCAACAAAGGCUAGUGAAAUUUAAAUUAAAAGCUUGACAUGUACCUUUUCGACCAAAAUCUUUGGAGUUGGUGUAAAGUUUUGAGUAUGAGAGAGGUUAGUCUAGGGAAUAUUAUUGCACAUUAGUUCAAAUAAAACAUCAACAUUUUUUUUUUUGUUAAAUUCUAAAUGAACACCACUAUAAAUUAAUGCGAUUUGUAUGCUCAAUUAAAUAAACUCGUUCUUAAGGCAUCACAUGAAGUGUUUAAGUCUAAUUAAUAUUAAUUAAAAAUGAUUAUUUUAAAAAAAUCCAAAGUAAUUUAUUUUUAUCAUAAGUCAAGUAGGAUAGUUUUAUAAAUAAUUGGUUCUAGUUUCUAGUAUUAUUGUACACAAUCGCUAUGUUUGUUGCACCUCCAAAAAAUCUACUACUUGUAAUUAAUUGUAUAUUAUUCUCCAUAUUCACAUCAGUUUAUGUAGUAUGAUUAAUUUAGCAACAAAAUAUAAGUUUACUUGAAAUCGCUUUAAAUUCCUAUGAUAUUAAAGUUUAAGAUUAAAACAAUGUAACAUUAGCCAAAAAGACUAAGAUCUAUAAUGUAACAUAUAAAAUUUAGAAAAUUCAAGGAAGGGUAAACUCGCACCUGUUCUACCCAGAAGAGUGGCUCAAGUUCACAUUCAGAAUUUAUUUGUUGAAAGAGUAUCUCCACUUUAUCACAAUCGAGCACUUCCAAUUCUUUCAGAAGUGGCCAGCUUGAACUAAACCUUCUAGAGCAAAAUCUUUUGAGUUGGUGUAAACCGGAGAGUGUGAGAGAGGUAAGGUUAGGGAAUGAGAGUAAAGGUGCUGCUUCAUCUUCAUUUUCAUUGGCAACAAUUGCCUCCACUCCACUCUCCGAUAUAUAAAGGUCCUCAAGUUGCACAAGAGCACUCGCCACAGAAACCGGAAAAAGGUUUAGCAAUUUGUUGCAUCCCCUUACUUGCAAUUUCCUUAAUUUGGAAAAUGAAUUUGCUGGAAGUUGGUCAGGCCACAAUGCUCUUAUAUUAUCUAGUCCGCGUACAGACAAGGACUCCAAACCUGGGAGUGCAACCUGUGCAAUUGAUGAUCCCUUUAGUUAAUAAUAUAUACAUAUACAUUCCUAAUAAUUAGACACAUGUAAAUAGAAAAUAAGAGGUUAAAGGAGAAUAUAUCAGUAUAACAAAGCACAA